AAGGGCCUCAGUGGACCGAAAAAAUACGAAAAACUGAAACUCACUAGCGGCAGGGCUCUCUAGUGCGGCAGCUCCUUCGGCUCACGUUGUGGUUAGGUGUUUCGCUUCAAUCAACCUGUAGAAAAGAAAACGGUGAUCACAACGUUGAAAAAAUUACACGAAACAGGAAUCGGAAAGAGCCUCAUCGGAGGUGGUUUGUGAAAUUCCCUGCGGCGGCACCGCCGAGCUUCGUCGGUAUUUUUCGGCCAAUUUGCUGGUUCUUUCACUUUGAUUUGGUCAUGGGUGGAUUUAAAAUUGAAUUUCGUACAAAAAGAGAAAUUUUUAUCUUUUUUGGCGGUCGGAAAGGGUUCCGGUGCGGCGGUGGAUGGCGGCGGUCGGCUCCCCGGUGGCUGGAUUGUCUUUGUCCGGCGAGGGGUUCUGGCGGUUAGAGUUUGGGUUUGGGUGCGGAUGAGAUUAUUUAUACACAUCUGUUUCUUAUCUGGGUCAUCAAUUGUUUUUUAUCUGGACCGUUCGAUCGUGAUUAAAUAGGGAGUGAAUUUGUGUCGUUCAUCGCGAUCCAAUCUGCGUCGUCCGUGCGCAAUUCACUCUGGGCCGUCCGUGCACAUGAGAACGGACAUCAGCUGUUCGAUCGCGCGCACGCGGAUCGCCCACGUAGCUCCCCCCGCGUGGCCUCUCGCAUCAGUGUCUCUGCCACUUGGCGCAUCCUGGUUGGUCGGGGCUGCU
rnacentral:lncRNA from 1 species